rnacentral:rRNA from 1 species
AUAUGAUGAAGUAAGUAAGGGCGUACGGUGAAUGCCUUGGUGCCAACAGGCGAAGAAGGACGCGGCAAGCUGCGAAAAACCUCGGGAAGCUGCAAGCAAGCGAUGAUCCGGGGGUAUCCGAAUGGGGUAACCUGAUCGAGGCAAUACUCGAUCGUUCAUACCUGAAUACAUAGGGUAUGAAACGCGAAACCCGCUGAAGUGAAACAUCUCAGUAAGCGGAGGAAAAGAAAGAGAAAUCGAUUCCGUAAGUAGUGGCGAGCGAAAGCGGAUGGAGCCCAAACCGAAGGUACUCCUUCGGGGUUGUAGGACCACGACAUAUUCGACCAUACUGGAUAGUAGAACAGCCUGGAAAGGCUGGCCAUAGAAGGUGAAAGCCCUGUAGACGAAAUCCAGAGUGGGAAUUAGUGGAAUCCUGAGUAAUACAUCACACGUGGAACGAUGUAUGAAUCCGCGCGGACCACCGCGCAAGGCUAAAUACUAGUUGGCGACCGAUAGUGAACAAGUACCGCGAGGGAAAGGUGAAAAGAACCGCUGUGAGCGGAGUGAAAUAGAACCUGAAACCGUAUGUCUACAAAGUGUCAGAGCAGAGCGAUCUGCGAUGGCGUGCCUUUUGUUUAAUGAGUCUGCGAGUCAGUGUUUGUGGCAAGACUAAGGGCUUCCGGCCCGGAGUCGCAGCGAAAGCAAGUCCGAAUAGGGCGAAUCAAGUCGCAGGUACUGGACCCGAAGCGGAGGUGACCUACCCUUGGCCAGGUUGAAGCAUGGGUAAAACCAUGUGGAGGACCGAACAGGUGAAC